CGCGCAGGCGGAUUAGCAAGUCAGAGGUGAAAUCCUACAGCUUAACUGUAGAACUGCCUUUGAAACUGUUAAUCUUGAGUACGGAAGAGAGAAGCGGAAUUCCAGGUGUAGUGGUGAAAUACGUAGAUAUCUGGAAGAACACCAGUUGCGAAGGCGGCUUCUUGGUCCGUUACUGACGCUGAGGCGCGAAAGCGUGGGAGCAAACA
rnacentral:rRNA from 1 species